UCAAAAUAAGAGAUGGUUGUCAAAUCUUUGGUUCAUUUGCUCCUUAGUUCUGAUUUGAAUUUUACCUGGCUGCCAGUGGCGAAGCCAAAUGUCCUGCUGGUCCUGCUGAGCAGGACCAAGAAUUUCCAAAGAUAAGGUUUACUGUAAACAAUAAACAAUUUCUUCUUUGCAAAAAGGAAGUUUCAAAUUCUAUUUGAUAAACAGUCCCCAGUUCCGCCAGCUGAUACAGGCAUCCCGUGCUAAUCUCAAGGUCCUGUUCUUUUCUACGGCAACCCUGUAUUUUGGUCCUGCUCAUAACUAUGAUACCCUAUGUUUGGUCCUGCUUCACAAUGGGCUUUUGUAAAUUUAGUCCUGCUUCACAAUAGUCUAGAACAAAGAGCAGUCCUGCUCAAUCUCGGGAGCAGGACCUUGCCGAAAUGAUCAUCAUAACAUUUCGUAAGCAGUAGUGAUUUGAUUGGUUGAGGGUUCACUUUCAUAGGUCAAAAGGUAUUGUUUUGAAAACCUUUGGUCCUGCUAUUUCUGAGAGCAGGACUGCAAGAAUUGCCCUGUGCAUUCUCGCUCUGCUAUGAGGCACUAGCAAGGAGGCCAGUUCAAGUAUUAUGGCGAGGCAAUGUGAAUGUGGAUUUCCUGCUUGCUUUGGCAAUACCAAUGAUAUUAUUAUUGACAGCAAAACUUGCCUCAGUUGAGCUGCAUAAAUUUUAUUUGUAACAAGACAAAGUCCAAAGUUUGCGAGAAAGAAAUGGUAAACACGGCCUUCACGGUAUAUCAUGGUGGCCUAAACAAAUAAGAUUUUCUUAGACUUAGACAAGGACGAUAAAAGCAUAAUUGAAUUUACUGUUGUGUGAUUGAAAUUUUGGAGUUGGAGAAUAAACCAAUUUCAAUGGAAUUUGCAUUUGUAAGAGAUUAACGGGCGACUGAUUGCUAUGUUGAAUACCGAUGAACUGAAUGCUGAACUGCUAGUAUGAAAUUGUUUUCAUUGAUAACGCGACACAUUAUUCAAUUGUACCUCUCUUUGUCAGCUGCAGAAUAAUUGUUCUGCAGAAUUUGUGAACUUGCCCCUACAGACUUUAAACUCUGUUGUUUAUUAAAAUUAUUUUAAUAGAGUAUCUAGAUUGGUCAGGUAUUUUAAUAGAGUGUCUAGAUUGAUCUAGAUUGGACCAAAAUCUUGAAUAGUCUAAUUAGACUAUUUCAACUACCACAAAUAUAUGAUAUGCAACUUCAAAUGCCACCCUUACCUCCCUUUUAUUGUCAAAUUUAGUUAUCACCAAUUUGAACUUUUACUUCAGCUGUAGAGGCUUACUACAAUUUAACAUAGAUUUGUUUGAAAAGUAAGCACCCUAAAGCACAUCUUUAAGUAUGGGUUUAUUUUGCAAAAGAUAGACAUGGAUUUAGAAUUUGC